rnacentral:lncRNA from 1 species
AUGUUUUAGGGGGUUUUUGGGGAGUAUAUUAGAGUUGUAUUUACGUAUGUUUGGUCCCUCAUUUGAGUCCACCUGUGUAGGUUCGGACCCGAGGAACCGAGGACCCCAGCAGUGAGUUCAGCUGCUUCGGUGUUGUCAGAGUCAGCCAGAGGUGAGUGGAACUAAACUUAAUCUUUUAAAUUAAAUGUUUUAUCAUGUAUCAUGCAUCAUGAUUAUGCAAUAGGAUGAUUGCAUUAGUUUUCACGAAUAUGCCGCAUUGCAUCGAUUGUUGUUGAUGUGGGUGAAUGUCGAAUGACCCAAUUAGUCCAUGACAGGAAGACCAGGCCCCAUGCUACAGGCCUGGCACAGAGUAAGAAAGACCAGGCCCCAUUCUACAGGCCUGGCACAGAGUAAGGAAAGACC